UACGUAGGGGGCAAGCGUUGUCCGGAUUUAUUGGGCGUAAAGAGCGUGUAGGCGGCUAGGUAGGUCCGUUGUGAAAACUCGAGGCUCAACCUCGAGCUGUCGAUGGAAACCAUCUAGCUAGAGUCCGGAAGAGGAGAGUGGAAUUCCUGGUGUAGCGGUGAAAUGCGCAGAUAUCAGGAGGAACACCAGCGGCGAAGGCGGCGCUCUGGGCCGGUACUGACGCUGAGGAGCGAAAGCGUGGGUAGCAAACAGG
rnacentral:rRNA from 1 species